AGAGUUUGAUCAUGGCUCAGAUUGAACGCUGGCGGCAUGCUUUACACAUGCAAGUCGAGCGGCAGCGCGGGGGCAACCCUGGCGGCGAGCGGCGAACGGGUGAGUAAUAGAUAGGAACGUGUCCGGGAGUGGGGGAUAACUAGCCGAAAGGUUAGCUAAUACCGCAUAUUCUCUACGGAGGAAAGCGGGGGAUUCGCAAGAACCUCGCGCUCGCGGAGUGGCCUAUCUCCGAUUAGCUAGUUGGUGAGGUAAAGGCUUACCAAGGCGACGAUCGGUAGCUGGUCUGAGAGGAUGAUCAGCCACACUGGGACUGAGACACGGCCCAGACUCCUACGGGAGGCAGCAGUGGGGAAUUUUGGACAAUGGGGGCAACCCUGAUCCAGCCAUGCCGCGUGCGGGAAGAAGGCCUUCGGGUUGUAAACCGCUUUUAUUCGGAAAGAAGGAGUGGGGGUUAAUACCUCUCAUGACAGACGGUACCGGAUGAAUAAGGACCGGCUAACUACGUGCCAGCAGCCGCGGUAAUACGUAGGGUCCAAGCGUUAAUCGGAAUUACUGGGCGUAAAGCGUGCGCAGGCGGUUCGUUAAGUCAGCUGUGAAAGCCCCGGGCUCAACCUGGGAAUUGCGGUUGAAACUGGCGAACUAGAAUCUGGCAGAGGGGGGGUGGAAUUCCCGUGUAGCAGUGAAAUGCGUAGAGAUGUGGAGGAACACCGAUGGCGAAGGCAGCCCCCUGGGCUGAGAUUGACGCUCAGGCACGAAAGCGUGGGGAGAAACAGGAUUAGAUACCCNNGUAGUCC
rnacentral:rRNA from 1 species